GACGAACGCUGGCGGCGUGCCUAAUACAUGCAAGUUGAGCGCUGAAGGUUGGUCCUUGUACCAACUGGAUGAGCAGCGAACGGGUGAGUAACGCGUGGGGAAUCUGCCUUUGAGCGGGGGACAACAUUUGGAAACGAAUGCUAAUACCGCAUAAAAACUUUAAACACAAGUUUUAAGUUUGAAAGAUGCAAUUGCAUCACUCAAAGAUGAUCCCGCGUUGUAUUAGCUAGUUGGUGAGGUAAAGGCUCACCAAGGCGAUGAUACAUAGCCGACCUGAGAGGGUGAUCGGCAACAUUGGGACGGAGACACGGCCCAAACUCCUACGGGAGGCAGCAGUAGGGAAUCUUCGGCAAUGGACGAAAGUCUGACCGAGCAACGCCACGUGAGUGAAGAAGGUUUUCGGAUCGUAAAACUCUGUUGGUAGAGAAGAACGUUGGUGAGAGUGGAAAGCUCAUCAAGUGACGGUAACUACCCAGAAAGGGACGGCUAACUACGUG
rnacentral:rRNA from 1 species